rnacentral:rRNA from 1 species
ACGGAAGGCAGCAGUGAGGAAUAUUGGUCAAUGGGCGAGAGCCUGAACCAGCCAAGUCGCGUGAAGGAUGAAGGUUCUAUGGAUUGUAAACUUCUUUUGUUCGAGGGUAAAGUGAGGGAUGCGUCCCUUAUUGCAAGUAUCGAACGAAUAAGCAUCGGCUAACUCCGUGCCAGCAGCCGCGGUAAUACGGAGGAUGCGAGCGUUAUCCGGAUUUAUUGGGUUUAAAGGGUGCGUAGGCGGGAUGUUAAGUCAGCGGUGAAAGCGUGUAGCUCAACUAUACCAAGCCGUUGAAACUGGCGUUCUUGAGUGUAAACGAGGUAGGCGGAAUGUGACGUGUAGCGGUGAAAUGCUUAGAUAUGUCACAGAACACCGAUUGCGAAGGCAGCUGUCCAGAGAUCAUCUGACGCUCAGGCACGAAAGCAUGGGUAUCAAACAGGAUUAGAUACCCUGGUA